rnacentral:rRNA from 1 species
GUAAACCUCUUUUAGUAGGGAAGAAGCGAAAGUGACGGUACCUGCAGAAAAAGCACCGGCUAACUACGUGCCAGCAGCCGCGGUAAUACGUAGGGUGCAAGCGUUGUCCGGAAUUAUUGGGCGUAAAGAGCUCGUAGGCGGUUUGUCGCGUCUGCUGUGAAAUCCCGAGGCUCAACCUCGGGCUUGCAGUGGGUACGGGCAGACUAGAGUGCGGUAGGGGAGAUUGGAAUUCCUGGUGUAGCGGUGGAAUGCGCAGAUAUCAGGAGGAACACCGAUGGCGAAGGCAGAUCUCUGGGCCGUAACUGACGCUGAGGAGCGAAAGCAUGGGGAGCGAACAGGAUUAGAUACCCUGGUAGUCCAUGCCGUAAACGUUGGGCGCUAGAUGUAGGGACCUUUCCACGGUUUCUGUGUCGUAGCUAACGCAUUAAGCGCCCCGCCUGGGGAGUACGGCCGCAAGGCUAAAACUCAAAGGAAUUGACGGGGGCCCGCACAAGCGGCGGAGCAUGCGGAUUAAUUCGAUGCAACGCGAAGAACCUUACCAAGGCUUGACAUACACCGGAAACGGCCAGAGAUGGUCGCCCCCUUGUGGUCGGUGUACAGGUGGUGCAUGGUUGUCGUCAGCUCGUGUCGUGAGAUGUUGGGUUAAGUCCCGCAACGAGCGCAACCCUCGUUCUAUGUUGCCAGCGGGUUAUGCCGGGGA